GGUUUAGUGGUCUAGUGGUAUGAUUCUCGCUUUGGGUGCGAGAGGUCCGGGGUUCGAUUCCCCGCUAACCCC
rfam:Trichuris trichiura, WGS project CBXK01000000 data, contig: TTRE_1628